CCUACGGGAGGCAGCAGUGGGGAAUAUUGCACAAUGGGGGAAACCCUGAUGCAGCGACGCCGCGUGAGUGAAGAAGUAUUUCGGUAUGUAAAGCUCUAUCAGCAGGGAAGAAAUAAAGUCCUUCGGACUUUGGACGGUACCUGACUAAGAAGCCCCGGCUAACUACGUGCCAGCAGCCGCGGUAAUACGUAGGGGGCAAGCGUUAUCCGGAUUUACUGGGUGGAAAGGGAGGGGAGACGGCAGCGCAAGUCUGGAGGGAAAUCCCAUGGCGUAACCAUGGAACUGCAUUGGAAACUGUGCAGCUGGAGUGCAGGAGAGGUAAGCGGAAUUCCUAGUGUAGCGGUGAAAUGCGUAGAUAUUAGGAGGAACACCAGUGGCGAAGGCGGCUUACGGGACUGUAACUGACGUUGAGGCUCGAAGGCGUGGGGAGCAAACAGGAUUAGAUACCCGUGUAGUC
rnacentral:rRNA from 1 species